GACGAACCGAGCGAACGUUGUUCGGAAUCACUGGGCUUAAAGGGCGCGUAGGCGGGUGCUCAAGUCCGGGGUGAAAUCCUCCAGCUCAACUGGAGAACUGCCUCGGAUACUGGGUGCCUCGAGGGUGGUAGGGGUAUGCGGAACUAUCGGUGGAGCGGUGAAAUGCGUAGAUAUCCAAAGGAACACCGGUGGCGAAAGCGGCGCGCUGGACCUCUUCUGACGCUGAGGCGCGAAAGCCAGGGGAGCAAACAGG
rnacentral:rRNA from 1 species